rnacentral:tmRNA from 1 species
GGGGGUGAACGGUUUCGACUCUGGACGUUGAUUCAGGGGAAGCGUGCCGGUGCAGGCGAGAUGGCCACCGUAAGCGUCGCUCGCAAACCAAUAAGCGCCGAAACUAACGUUCGCGCUGACUUCGCACUCGCUGCCUAAGUAGCGGGUCGGGUCUGUCGGUUCAGGGAUGCCUCCGCCCUGGGUCCCGGCAUCAGCUAGGAGGACUACCGCCGGUCUCGGUCACGGGGGCCGGUUGGGAAGCAAACAGUGACUGGGCCCGUCACACCGGCUUGUUCGCGUGACCGGUUGGGGCCAAGUAGAGACAAGGCGAACUGCGCACGGAGAAGCCCUGAUGAGGCGACAGAGGACCCGGGUUCGAUUCCCGGCACCUCCACAA